AGAACUUUAAUUACGCUUAUUUUCUAUUUGCACCACUCCCGUGUUUUUAUUCCAAUGAAUGUGUUCUUACCAAAGUCAACAGUGGUUUAACAGGCACUUUUGAACAAAGUUGACUAGAAGGUAGGAAAAGUUGGUAAGUAAUAGGGAAAAGAAGGUAAAAUGGGUUAAUAGAAGGUGAAUAAAAGGUAAAAGAAGUUAAAUAAAAGGUAAAUAUAAGGAAAAAAAGAUUAAUUGUAAGGUAAAAAAAGAAGGCAAUGAAGGUAAAUGAAAGGUAAAAGAAAAAAAUGAGGGUAAAAUCAUGCAAAUAGAAGGUAAAUAUAAGGAAAAGAAGAUAAAAAAAGAAGUUUUAAGGUAUGAAAGAAGGUAACAAAGGCAAAUAGAUUAGAUUAGAUUAGAUAGUACUUUAUUUAUUCCGUCAGGAAAAUUAAAAUAGAAGGUAAAAGAACAAAUUGAGGGUAAAAUCAUGCAAAUAGAAGGUAAAUAUAAGGAAAAGAAGAUAAAGAUAGUAAUUGUAAGGUAAAAAAGAAAGUAAUGAAGGCAAAUAGAAGGUAAAUAAAAGGUAAAAGAAAAAAAUGAGGGUAAAAUUAUGCAAAUGGGAGGUAAAUACUAGGAAAAGAAGAUAAGAAAGUAGUUGUAAGGUAUAAAAGAAGGUAACAAAGGUAAAAGAACAAAUUGAGGGUAAAAUCAUGCAAAUAGAAGGUAAAUAUAAGGAAAUGAAGAUAAAAAAGUAAUUGUAAGGUAAAAAAAGAAGGUAACGAAGGCAAAUUGAAGAAUAAAAGGUAAAAGAACAAAUUGAGGGUAAAACCAUGCAAAUAGAAGGUAAAUAUAAGGAAAAGAAGAUUUAAAAAAAAGUAAUUGUAAGGUAAAAAAAAUAAGGUAAUGAAGGCAAUAAAAGGUAAAAGAACAAAUUGAUGGUAAAAUCAUGCAAAUAGAAGGUAAAUAUAAGGAAAAGAAGAUAAAAAAAGAAGUUGUAAGCUAUAAAAGAAGGUAACUAAGGCAAAUAGAUUAGAUUAGAUCAGAUAGUACUUUAUUUAUUCCGUCAGGAAAAUUCAAAUAGAAGGUAAAAGAACAAAUUGGGGGUAAAAUCAUGCAAAUAGAAGGUAAAUAUAAGGAAAAGAAGAUUAAAAAAAAAAGUAAUUGUAAGGUAAAAAAAGAAGGUAAUGAAGGCAAAUAGAAGGUAAAUAAAAGGUAAAAGAAAAAAUUGAGGGUAAAAUCAUGCAAACAGAAGGUAAUAUAAGGAAAAUAAAAUAAAAAAGUAGUUGUAAGGCAUAAAAGAAGGUAACGAAGGUAAAAGAACAAAUUGAGGGUAAAGUUAUGCAAAUAGAAGGUAAAUAUAAGGAAAUGAAGAUAAAAAAGUAAUUGUAAGGUAAAAAAGAAGGUAAUGAAGGAAAAUAGAAGGUAAAUAAAAGGUAAAAGAAAAAAAUGAGGGUAAAAUCAUGCAAAUAGAAGGUAAAUACUAGGAAAAGAAGAUAAAAAAGUAGUUGUAAGGUAUAAAAGAAGGUAACGAAGGUAAAAGAACAAAUUGAGGGUAAAAUCAUGCAAAUAGAAGGUAAAUAUGAGGAAAUGAAGAUAAAAAGGUAAUUGUAAGGUAAAAAAAGAAGGUAACGAAGGCAAAUUGAAGAAUAAAAGGUAAAAGAACGAAUUGAGGGUAAAAUCAUGCAAAUAGAAGGUAAAUAUAAGGAAAAGAAGAUUUAAAAAAAAAGUAAUUGUAAGGUAAAAAAAAGAAGGUAAUGAAGGCAAAUAGAAGGUAAAUAAAAGGUAAAAGAACAAAUUGAGGGUAAAAUCAUGCAAAUAGAAGGUAAAUACUAGGAAAAGAAGAUAAAAAAGUAGUUGUAAGUUAUAAAAGAAGGUAACAAAGGUAAAAGAACAAAUUGAGGGUAAAAUCAUGCAAAUAGAAGGUAAAUAUAAGGAAAUGAAGAUAAAAAAUCAAUUGUAAGGUAAAAAAAAGAAGGUAACGAAGGCAAAUUGAAGAAUAAAAGGUAAAAUAACGAAUUGAGGGUAAAAUCAUGCAAAUAGAAGGUAAAUAUAAGGAAAAGAAGAUUAAAAAAAAGUAAUUGUAAGGUAAAAAAAAUAAGGUAAUGAAGGCAAAUAAAAGGUAAAAGAACAAAUUGAGGGUAAACUCAUGCAAAUAGAAGGUAAAUAUAAGGAAAAGAAGAUUUUAAAAAAAAGUAAUUGUAAGGUAAAAAAAGAAGGUGAUGAAGGCAAAUAGAAGGUAAAUAAAGGGUAAAAGAAUAAAUUGAGGGUAAAAUCAUGGUAAUAGAAGGUAAAUAUAAGGAAAAGAAGAUAAAAGAAAGUAAUUGUAAGGUAAAGCAGGUAAUGAAGGCAAAUAGAAGGUAAAUAAAAGGUAAAAUAAGUUAAGAGAUGGUAAAUAUAAGGGAAAAAAGAUUAAAAAAAGUAAUUGUAAGGUAAAAAAAGAAGGUAACAAAGGUAAAUAAAAGGUAAAAGAACAAAUUUGGGGUAAAAUCAUCCAAAUAGAAGGUAAAUAUAAGGAAAAAUGAUUUUAAAAAAGUAAUUGUAAGGAUAGAAAAAGAAGAUAGUGUAGGCAAAUAGAAGGUAAAUAAAAGUUCAAAGAACAAAUUGAGGGUAAAAUCAUGCAAAUAUAAGGAAAUGAAAAUGAAAAAAAAGUAAUUGUAAGGUAAAAAAAGAAGGAAACAAAGGCAAAUAGAAGGUAAAUAAAAGGUAAAAGAAGUUAAAGAGAAGGUUAAUAUAAGGAAAAGAAGAUUAAAAAAAGUAAUUGUAAGGUAAAAAAAGAAGGUAAUGAAGGCAAAUAGAAGGUAAAUAAAGGGUAAAAGAAUAAAUUGAGGGUAAAAUCAUGGUAAUACAAGGUAAAUAUAAGGAAAAGAAGAUAAAAGAAAGUAAUUGUAAGGUAAAGAAGGUAAUGAAGGCAAAUAGAAGGUAAAUAAAAGGUAAAAGAAGUUGAAGAGAUGGUAAAUAUAAGGGAAAGAAGAUUAAAAAAAGUAAUUGUAAGGUAAAAAAAGAAGGUAACAAAGGCAAAUAGAAGGUAAAUAAAAGGUAAAAGAACAAAUUUUGGGUAAAAUCAUCCAAAUAGAAGGUAAAUAUAAGGAAAAAUGAUUAAAAAAAAAAGUAAUUGUAAGGAGAGAAAAAAGAAGAUAAUGUAGGCAAAUAGAAGGUAAAUAAAAGUUCAAAGAACAAAUUGAGGGUAAAAUCAUGCAAAUAGAAAGUAAAUAUAAGGAAAUGAAGAUGAAAAAAAAAGUAAUUGUAAGGUAAAAAAAGAAGGAAACAAAGGCAAAUAGAAGGUAAAUAAAAGGUAAAAAAAAGUUAAAGAGAAGGUUAAUAUAAGGAAAAGAAGAUUAAAAAAAGUAAUUGUAAAGUAAAAAAAAGAAGGAAACAAAGGCAAAUAAAAGGUAAAAUAACCAAUUGAGGGUAAAAUCAUGCAAAUAGAAGGCAAAUGAAGUUAUGACAGGUAAAUAAAAUGUAAAUUAAGUGUAAAAGAGACUUAGACAAACUUUAUUGAUCCACAAGGGAAAUUAAAUUGUUCCACACAGUAGCUGACUUACUAAGGAUGGAAAGGAUAAUGCGGAUAUAAAGUAGACUAAAAAUGUAGCAAUGUAAAAUAUAACAUAUAUGUCAUAUUUACAUAUUAUUUAUUUAGUGAUAUAUUUUGAUAUAAUAUAUACAAUAUAUACCAAUGACUAUGUACAAUAUUACAGUAUAUGUAACAGCUGCAGCCGAAAAUAGAUCCAGCAGAAAAUAGACAUUAUAGAGGGUCAAUAAAAGGUCAAAUAAAAUGUCAGAUGUUAAUUGAAAUGUAAAUAUAAGGUAAAGGAAGGUAAAUAAUAUAAUAGGUAAAAUAAGGUGACUAAAAGGUAAAAGGCGCAAAAUAAAAGGUAAAUGACGUUAAAUAUAAGGUAAAUUAAAGGGUGAAUAAAAGGUCAAAUGAGGUGAAUAAAAGAUCAAAGAGAAAGUAAAUAAAAGGUAAAAUGAGGGUAAAAGAAGGGAACUUGGAGAUAAGAAAAGUUACACACAAGGUAAAAAAAGAUAAGUGGGUGGUAAACGGUAGAAGAAGGAGUAUAUAAGGUAAUGUGUGGUGAAAGAAGGAAUAUAGAAGGUAAAUAAAUUAAAUUGAUGGUAAAAGAGGUAAAGGUAAAAUAAAGUGAAUUGAGGGUAAAAUAACAUAAAUGAUGACUAGAAGGUAAAAUAAGUUAAAUAGAAGGUAAAUAAAAGGAAAUUAGAUGGUAAAAUAAGUAAAAAAGGGUAAAUAAAAGGUAAAAGAAGGAAUAUGGUCGGUAAAUACAAGGUUUAAAUAAUAAAAUAACAUUAAUCUCGUUAUAUGAACCCUAAUCUCGUUACAUGCAAAUAUGAUAACAAUAAAGUCCAUUCUAUUCUAUUCUAUUCCAAAAGGGUAAACAAAAGGUAAAGUAAGGUAGAUAAAAGGUAAAAGACGACUAGAAAGUAAAUAAAAGGUAAAUUGUGGGUAAAAGUAGGAUAAUAGUAGAUAAAAGAAGUUAGAAGGUAAAAAAGCUACAUAGGUGGUAAAUAAAAGUUAAAUAGGAGAGAAUGGAAGUUAAAUAGAAGGUAAAAAAAGAUAAGUGGGUGGUAUGGGUAAAGGUGAAAUAAAGUGGGUUGAGGGUAAAAGGACAUAAAUGAUGAAUAGAAGGUAAAAUAAGUUAAAUAGAAGGUAAAAAAAAGGAAAGGAGACGGUGAAAUAAGUAAAAAGGGUGAUACAAGUUAAAUUAAGGUAAAAGAAGGAAUAUGGAAGCUAAAUAGAGGGUUAAAAAGGUAAAAAAAAGGUAAAGUAAGGUAGCUAAACGGUAAAAGACAAAAAGAAAGUCAAUAAAAGG